rnacentral:rRNA from 1 species
CAAUUACGUUUGGUGGCGACCGGCGACACGGGUGAGUAACGUCGUAUGCAACCUACCUAUCGAGAGGGGAAUAACCCGGCGAAAGUCGGACUAAUACCGCAUAAAACAGGGGCACCGCAUGGUGAUAUUUGUUAAAGAAAUUCGCUGAUAGAUGGGCAUGCGUUCCAUUAGGUAGUUGGUGAGGUAACGGCUCACCAAGCCGACGAUGGAUAGGGGAACUGAGAGGUUGGUCCCCCACACUGGUACUGAGACACGGACCAGACUCCUACGGGAGGCAGCAGUGAGGAAUAUUGGUCAAUGGGCGGGAGCCUGAACCAGCCAAGUCGCGUGAAGGAAAGAAGGAUCUAUGGUUCGUAAACUUCUUUUGCAGGGGAAUAAAGUGCAGGACGUGUCCUGUUUUGUAUGUACCCUGAGAAUAAGGAUCGGCUAACUCCGUGCCAGCAGCUGC